rnacentral:tmRNA from 1 species
GGGGAUGUAAUGGUUUCGACGGGGUAUUGAAGCCACGAGGUUCGCAGGCCAAUGGUUAUGAAGCCUAACUCUUAACCGCUAAAUGUAAUUGACGAAUUCGAUUACGCAUACGCUGCCUAAGCUUCGGCUUAGUAGCCCCCUCGGUAUCACUAGCUGCGGGCAGGGCUGAGGGUUUCAAAUAAGCGCAGCAGUUUUCCUUGUUUUCGCAAAACAAGGUGGUGGGGAACUCUGAAUCCCAGAGUUGCGCUUCUAUGAUGCUGGCAUACUCCAGCUAUUGCGAUAAUGCCUUGUGAUGUGGAUGUAUUUCGGACAGGAGUUCGAUUCUCCUCAUCUCCACCA